rnacentral:rRNA from 1 species
GAUUGAACGCUGGUGGCAGGCCUAACACAUGCAAGUCGAGCGGCAUCGAGUGAUCGCAGUUUACUGAGUUCAUGUCGGCGAGCGGCGGACGGGUGAGUAAAGUCUGGGAAUCUGGCCGAAGGAGGGGGAUAACUGCUGGAAACGGCAGCUAAUACCGCAUGAAGUCGCGAGACCAAAGUGGGGGACCUUCGGGCCUCACGCCUUCGGAUGAGCCCAGAUGAGAUUAGCUGGUAGGUAAGGUAAAGGCUUACCUAGGCGACGAUCUCUAGCGGGUCUGAGAGGAUAGCCCGCCACACUGGAACUGAGACACGGUCCAGACUCCUACGGGAGGCAGCAGUGGGGAAUAUUGCACAAUGGGCGAAAGCCUGAUGCAGCCAUGCCACGUGUGUGAAGAAGGCCUUCGG